rnacentral:rRNA from 1 species
GGGUCAGUAGGUUGGUCGUGCCACCGGUACGUACUGGUCUCACUGAUUCCUCCUUCCUGAAGAACCGUAAUGCCAUUAAUUUGGUGUUGCGGGGAAACAGGACCGUUACUUUGAAGAAAUUAGAGUGUUUAAAGCAAGCUAACGCUUGAAUACAUUAGCAUGGAAUAAUGAAAUAGGACGAUCGAUCCUAUUUUGUUGGUUUCUAGGAUUGACGUA